UACGUAGGGGGCAAGCGUUGUCCGGAAUCAUUGGGCGUAAAGAGCGUGUAGGCGGCCCGGUAAGUCCGCUGUGAAAGUCAGGGGCUCAACCCUUGAAUGCCGGUGGAUACUGUCGGGCUAGAGUGCGGAAGAGGCGAGUGGAAUUCCUGGUGUAGCGGUGAAAUGCGCAGAUAUCAGGAGGAACACCGAUUGCGAAGGCAGCUCGCUGGGACGUUACUGACGCUGAGACGCGAAAGCGUGGGGAGCAAACAGG
rnacentral:rRNA from 1 species